rnacentral:rRNA from 1 species
UACGGAGGGUGCAAGCGUUAUCCGGAUUCACUGGGUUUAAAGGGUGCGUAGGAGGGCAGGUAAGUCAGUGGUGAAAUCUCCAAGCUUAACUUGGAACUGCCGUUGAUACUAUCUGUCUUGAAUAUUGUGGAGGUGAGCGGAAUAUGUCAUGUAGCGGUGAAAUGCUUAGAUAUGACUAGAACACCAAUUGCGAAGGCAGCUCACUACUCAAUCAUUGACUCUGAGGCACGAAAGCGUGGGGAUCAAACAGG